CCCUUAGAUGUUCUGGGCCGCACGCGCGCUACACUGACACGUUCAUCAAGUCUAUAACCUUGACCGAGAGGUCUGGGUAAUCUUUUAAAAACGUGUCGUGCUGGGGAUAGAUUAUUGCAAUUAUUAAUCUUCAACGAGGAAUUCCUAGUAAACGCAAGUCAUCAACUUGCAUUGAUUACGUCCCUGCCCUUUGUGCACACCGCCCGUCGCUACUACCGAUUGAAUGAUUUAGUGAGUACCAGGGACCGAGCGCUUUGGUUGGGUUUCCUUCCCUAGCGCUUGGGAACUGUCGCAAACUUGACCAUUUAGAGGAAGUAAAAGUCGUAACA
rnacentral:rRNA from 1 species